rnacentral:rRNA from 1 species
UACGGAGGGAGCUAGCGUUGUUCGGAAUUACUGGGCUUAAAGCGCGCGUAGGCGGCUUUGUAAGUUAGAGGUGAAAGCCCGGGGCUCAACCCCGGAACUGCCUUUAAGACUGCAUCGCUUGAAUCCAGGAGAGGUGAGUGGAAUUCCGAGUGUAGAGGUGAAAUUCGUAGAUAUUCGGAAGAACACCAGUGGCGAAGGCGGCUCACUGGACUGGUAUUGACGCUGAUGUGCGAAAGCGUGGGGAGCAAACAGG